rnacentral:rRNA from 1 species
UGGCCCCAGUGAGUAGGAGGGGCGCAGCGGUGUGCGCAGAAGGGAUUGGGCGUGAGCCUGCCUGGAGCCGCCGUUGGUGCAGAUCUUGGUGGUAGUAGCAAAUACUCGAGCGAUAUCCUGGAGAUCUGAUGUGGAGAAGGGUUCCAUGUGAACAGCCUUUGCACAUGGGUCAGUCUGUCCUAAGCUGCAGGAGAAAUCCGGGUUCUGGCGAAAUCGGUGCUCCCGCGUACUUUUAUACACGUGUCACCGCCAAACCUAAGCGAGAGGGAAUCCGGUACUGAUUCCGGAACCUGGUCACGGAUAACCCCUCUUCGGAGGGGGUCGUUGGGGUCCUUGUGACUUACACCGUAAGGUAGCUAAACUCGGGGAAGUCGGCCGCUGUCCCGGGCAGAGUUUUCUGUUCUGUAUAAG